UACGGUCAUAGCACAUUGAAACACUUGUUUCCGUACGAUCACUGUGGUUAAGCAACGUUGAACGUGGUCAGUACUUAUAUGGGUAACAGCUUGAGAAUGCCAAGUGAUGUU